UACGAGAGGUCCAAACGUUAUUCGGAAUCACUGGGCUUACAGAGUUCGUAGGCGGUCCGGAAAGUGGGGUGUGAAAGCCCUCGGCUCAACCGAGGAACUGCGCUCCAAACUACCGUGCUAGAGGAAGAUAGAGGUGAGCAGAACUGAUGGUGGAGCGGUGAAAUGCGUUGAUAUCGGGAGGAACACCAGUGGCGAAGGCGACUACCUGGCCUGUUCUUGACGCUGAGGCGCGAAAGCUAGGGGAGCAAACGGG
rnacentral:rRNA from 1 species